AGCUCUACCAAUUAAGCUGCCAAACAAGUCUCCUCUCUCUCUCUCUCUCUCUCUCUCUCUCUGUUCAAACACUCCAAAUAUCUUACUUCUCCCUCACAAAUAGAAUCGUCUGCGGGAGAUUAAGCACAUAAUAUAUAGGAAGUUACAGAGAGAGAAGUGGUGGUGGUGCAUGUGAUAAGCGUAUGAAAUAAAAUUGCAGGUCUGGCCGGGUUAAGGAGCAUAGCAAUUAGAGUGAGUAGAGGUUUUAAGAAUAAGAGAAAGAAAGGCAGAAAGAAAGCAGUGAAGGUUAUAAAAGAGAAGUUGAUGGAGUUUUGGGACAAGAUGAUCUUCCCUGUCCGCCGUGUCUGGCUUGCUGUCUCUACUCGUGUUAAGGCUCGCAAAAAUGGUGCUGGUCUGUUGAAGCUUCACGACGAUGUACAAACUUGUGGCUAUCAAGAUGUGCAAGUGAUGUGGCAGAUGCUGAGCAGAGAAGCUGAGCUGAUAAAUCACCACCAUGCCAAACGUAAACAGCGACCCUUCUGGAGAGUUUUUGAAUGGUCUAACAACCAUAGUAAAGCCUCGUCCCUCUCUGCAAAUCAUGCUUGAAAAUGAGAUCCAUCGACCAAAGCCGGGUAGACAUCAUAAUAAUAAGAAUAAUAAUAAUGUGUUGCUGCUGUCCUAAUUGGCAUCAUAGUUUUACAGUCGAAUUGCCAAGAUUACAACAGCGGCGUGGUACAGAACUGUUGCAGGUGUCAAACACCGUACAAGAUGAAAUAUCAAUUAUGUGUCAAAUUGUUACCUCUGUUUUGAGUACUACUACUAGAGCUGACAUGGUCAUUUGUAAAUAUAAUAAUAGUUUUUCUAAAACCCAGAAAACACAGCAGAUAGUUCAAAAGAGAGCCUUCAUCGCAGAGCGCUCAUUUUUCCUCUCAGUGUACCUGUGCCAAGAGCAUGGCUCUAAAGUUUGAGUCUUUCACUUGCAUUUGCUAUGUGCUGAAUGGUUAGAUUUAGAACAUUCACUGA